UUCACAUUCAUGUGAGGCUGGCUUUGAACAAAUGUUUGUGCAGGAAGCACAGGAGGUGCUGGGUGGAGGAAGUACAAUGACGAUGGGGUUCUUUCCUCUUGGAAUGAUCAAGGUGGAUUCUUUACUGCUGAGCCAUCUGGGAACCCUUAGGAGAAGCAGAGGUGACCGCAAAAUGUGCUGAGAGUUGGGGGACAGCAGAGGCUGCUGGACUGAGUGGGGAGACGAUGGUGGAGCAGCAGGAGCUGAACCCCGGCCCCAGGCCAGCGUCUGCUCUUUAUCCUCCUGAGCACUCAUUAACUGGGAAGUGUAAAACAGUGACUUAACAUCGGAGAAACCUGGCCGACUCCACCGUGACCAAAUAACCACCAACACGGGACCGAGAAUAAGAACAGACCAAUGCGAGCACAUGCUGACACCUGCCCGGCAGAAGACAUGACAUCACGACUUGCAACCUUUGAACUGAAUUACAAGGGAGCAUCAGAUAAACCUUAGAGGCUGAAUUCUUCAGAUGUCGGGGUCAAAAAAAAGUCCACGGCACUAAACAGACUCAGGAAUGAUCUCAGACUAAAGGAGACUGAAGAGCUGAAACAAGCAACCGUGCGGAGAUCCUGGGCUUCCUUUGUCAUACAGGACAUCGUGGAGGCAAUCCACAGAAUCGCAGAAUCAUACUGCAGUCUGUAUAUUGGAUAGUAGCUUCAAGUCUAUCAAUGUUAUUAAUAACUUUAUGAUUUUGAUUAUUUUGCUGUGGUUUAUGAAAUCAGGGCAACAUCUUUGUAGGAAAUAUUGACAUAUACAGUGGUAAA